rnacentral:rRNA from 1 species
AGAAUCAACGCUGGCGGCGUGCCUAACACAUGCAAGUCGAACGCGGUUACCCCGCAAGGGGUGACUGAGUGGCAAACGGGUGAGUAACGCGUGGGUGACCUACCUUCGAGUGGGGGAUAACGUUUCGAAAGGAACGCUAAUACCGCAUGACAUCCUGCCUUUGGACAGGCGGAGAUCAAAGCCGGGGAUCGCAAGACCUGGCGCUUGGAGAGGGGCCCGCGUCCGAUUAGCUAGUUGGUGAGGUAACGGCUCACCAAGGCGACGAUCGGUAGCCGG